ensembl:lincRNA
CUGUGUUUGAACCCCUUUAGGAGCAUGGUGUCCUGGGGCAAUGUAUCUGACCUCCAGGACUCAAUCUCCUUAUCUGCAGAUGGGUACAUAAUUGUGACUCCUAGGGAUGCUGUAAAGAUUAAUUAUACCCUGAAGACAUUGAGUAACUGUACCAUGUUCCAUCCUAGACUCCAUCUUCCAUCUUCUCCAAGCCUCAAGUGAACAAGAAGUGUGAAUGAGUGGGGAAAGAAGCAUGGAAAGAAAACCUGGUCCUGAGGGUCAGGAGAAAGAACCUGCUGGACAGAGCCUAGUACUCAGGUACCCACCAAAAAGCUCUUUGGAAGGUGAAAUCCUGCUGACACUCAGGAUGGUGCUGUGGCCAUUUCAGGCAAGACUCCUGGAUGCUCAAAAUAGGCCUGCCAAGGUGAGGCUGUCAUUCAGUGGAACUCCAGGGACAGUUUACAGGCUCACCUUUGGAACACGCUGUGGUAAGUGUGCCAUUGCCCCAGCCAGCAGCCAGGCCUGCUGCACAGCAGCACGGCUCGCCCUCACUGAGGUCAGGGUGGUACUGGGGUGGCUUGAUGGAAAGAAGUGGAUCAGGCUCCAGAAACAUCACUACCUCACUCGUGCUAUCUCACCACACAAGGGACCCAGUGUUAGGUCUGGCCCCGGUCACGUCACAUGUCCAGCUCUGUUUCCAUCCCAGGCUGCAGUAUGCGGUCUGGGCCCUGGGAUCUGGGCUCCCUAGCCAGCUUCCACAUGCUUUGUGCUGUUCUGAGUGCUGAGAACCACAGAGGCCUGCACAGAUUGCUGUUGCUGAAGCUCACAGCACCAACCUAUAAGCCUAGUUCUGAGCACAUUUGUGAGAAAUGCUGACGCAUUCUGAGGACCCCUGUGGGAGUGUCCCUUGCUUACUGAAGAAUGAAACUUUGCUCUUCUCAAACUCUACUGAGUUGUAAAGUUUACAAGGAUCUUAGAGACAAUUAAAGCCAGUGACUAUCCAACUUGUUUAAAGAGACCCCAUAAAAAUCAUACUGUAUGCCUGUAUGGGAUUCUUAGGGCUGUCAAAACAAAACACUACAGGCAAGAAGGCUGAAACAACAUACAUUUAAUUUCUUUCUGUUCUAGAGGCCAGAAGUCCAGGAUCAAGAUUUCAGAGGGUUGGUUUCUCCUGAGACCCAUGGUCUUACAUGAUCAACCCUCUGCUUAUGUCUGUUUUCUGAUCCCUUCUUCUUUGAGGACAUCAGAUGAUAUGAGGAUAAGGUUCUCCUUGUGUGUAUAAGGGUUCUUCAGAACAGAGUAUGUAUAAGCCCCACAGUAGCUGUCUUCAGGCAAGAGACCCAGGCAAACCAAGAGCUAGAAGCCUCAGAACAAGAAGGACCUAUGAUGCAGCCACAGCCCAAAGCUGAGGGCCUGGAAGCUGAUGGUUCAAGCCUACAAAGGGGGAGGAAUCUUGUGUCCACAGGAGCCGACAGAAAGAAAAACACAUGUACCCAAGAAGGGUUGCUCAUGCAUGUGCGUGAACUUCCCUUCCUGCUUUCAGUUGCACUGGCCCCAACCUAUUGGAUGGUGUUAUUCUGCCUCAUUGUGGGUCUCCCCUCCCAGUUUGGGACCCACAUGCCAAUUUUCUCUGGGCAGACAUGCCAGAAGCCUGCUCUCUGAUUUUAGGCCUUCCCUCAAUGCAGUCAAAUCGACCAUCACACCUAGCAAUCUCAUUUUGAGUGAAUUACUCUAUCUCCGGUAGACUCAUAUGGGGAAGCACUGGGUAUCAGUGGUUCAACUUAGGAACUUGAGUGGGACCCAAUUUAGUACAUAAAAAUGUCAAAGGUCGGUGUACAAAGGUAACUGAAAUGUAAGUUAGAACAAACAAAAACCAUGUGUGAGAGCAUUUGACCUUUGCUAUUCUAUUCUUUUUCCUUAAAAAUAACAUCAGUCAUGAGCCACUAUGAUGAUGAUUCCACAACCUAUUAAUGACUCUGGAUCACAGUUUUGCAGUCUAGGCCCCAUGGAGAUCUCUUCCAACACUGACCUCAGGGGCUAAGAAGACCCUGGCUGGGAUCAGAGACUUUAUCUUAAUGAUGAAGGAGCUGAGAGGCAUGAGCAGGCCUGGCUGGGAAAGGUCAGCUGUGUUGGUGACCUGGGGCUGGGGACCAGGGGCUCUGAGCUUCUCCUGAAGGGAGAAUAUGAGGCAGGGUGAGGACAGAUGGGUGAGAACCGUGUCUGGGACACAGUGCUGAGGACCAGAUCAGGGGGCCAUUGGAUGCAAGUGCAGGUGAGGAUGGAUGGAGCUGCCAGGAGCCAGGCUCUGGGUCAUGCAGGGACAGAGGCAAGCUGGGCACAAGAAUGGAAAGCCAAAGCUCACCCACACUGGGGGCUGGCGGUGUGGCACAGGGGCCCUGCCUGCUGUGGGUGUCAGAAGGAGUGCUGUCCUGAAAGGCCACAGCACUGAGGCUGGUGUGACAGGCCACCUCGUACACUUGACAGCUUGGGAAGUCUAGGAGAGAAGGUUUAGUCAAGUGCCAUAGAAAGCCACUCCCAAAAUUUCAAAAUCAUACUCCCAGUGUUUUGCCAGUUUCUCUAGUCAGUCACUUGAUUAUGUAGUUAUUGUCUCUUUGAGAAAAUGGAAAGCUAUUGCUUUGGAAUACAGUGAAAAUUCUCUAACCUGGCAUUUGAGUCACAGAGAUGUUCAGUAUCUUCCUACAACUUGAAUCUUCUUUUCCGUUUAUCCUUUGUAGUCCUCCUC